CCCAGACUCCUACGGGAGGCAGCAGUGGGGGAUAUUGCACAAUGGGGGGAACCCUGAUGCAGCGACGCCGCGUGGGCGAGGGAGCGCCUCGGCGCGUAAAGCCCUUUCGGCGGGGGAGAACGAUGACGGUACCCGACGAAGAAGCACCGGCUAAAUACGUGCCAGCAGCCGCGGUAAUACGGAGGAUGCGAGCGUUAUCCGGAUUUAUUGGGUUUAAAGGGUGCGUAGGCGGAAUGCCAGUCAACCGGUAAAAUCGCGGGGCUCAACCUCGCUCCGCCGUUGAAACUGGCGUUCUUGAGUGGGCGAGAAGUAUGCGGAAUGCGUGGUGUAGCGGUGAAAUGCAUAGAUAUCACGCAGAACUCCGAUUGCGAAGGCAGCAUACCGGCGCCCAACUGACGCUGAAGCACGAAAGCGUGGGUAUCGAACAGGAUUAGAUACCCCCGUAACA
rnacentral:rRNA from 1 species